AUUAAGCAUAUCAUGCCCGAGUAAUAAUAUUGAGACAGUGAUAUUUGGAAAUCAUUUGUAUGACAUCCAGACACAGUAUUAACCCUCUCAGUCUCGUCAAGAUCAACAAAAGGCUAAUAUUGAUUAAUGAGUCUAAUAAGUAGAUAAUGAUUGUUUUCAUUGCUAAUCUGCGUAUUUAUGUAGAGGUUGCUAUGAGACAAACUACAUCCGAAAUGAGGCAAGAGUGAAGUUACAGGAACAUAACAAUUAAUAAUGAAGACAUGCCUGUUCAUUCGCUAAUGGAAUUUCCCUAAAGUACCUGUUUCGAGGAGUCAAGGUCUGAAAGUCUGCUUUCAUGAUGAAAUUUGCUGUACUUGCCAUAAUGCUUUUGGUUACUGUGCCUGAAACUCACUCUGGCCGUCGUCACUAUCAUGGAAGCUACUCUGACAGUGAUGAGAGGUUCUAUCUUGCCCUGAUCCCAACAUUUCACUGGUAUCGACCGAGGCCAGUGCCUCCCCGACUUCAGUUCCCUCUCUGGCCCUUCUUCCCUGGAUUACUGCCCCAGCCGGCCCCUGCUCCUAUCCCAGCACCAAGUCCUGGACCAAGUCCCAGCCAGACCACCACUGCCCCCGCCACCACUAGUAAGAGGGGAGAUAACGGAUAAACAGGAACAUCUCAGAACCGGACCAAUACCAACCCAAUGGAUCUUCUUUUGGACUAUAUGUUUUUAUUCUAAAACCACAAUAGUACAUUCAAUAACAACAUAUUAUACUUUAUUCAUAAAAAAAUCUGGGUGAAAUUGUGUAUCUUCUUGUUUCAAGUUUUGUUUAAUGUUCAUUUUUGUUUAUUGAAUUUAAUUCAGCUGUAUUAAUCACACUUUAUUAUUUGUGCAUUUCUAUAUAUUUGCAAUUUUGUUAACUAUUCAUUGGAAUUUGAUUUUCUGGUUCAUCUUAUUGUCUUUGUGUGGAUUCAUGUUGAAGAUCUGCUUUUCUUAAUAUGUGUACAUCUCAAUGUAUAUAGUGGUAAGUAUCUUUUUAUACACUGUAUUAUUUUUAUAUUUUCCUACAAUCAUUUAAAUUUGACAUCAACAUUUUAUUUUGUGACAGCCAUAAAGGUGUGGACUAUAUGAGUCAAGGUAAUCAUAAGAUUAAAGGCUACUGGGUGGGUCUGGCGUUUUGUCUGAUUUCACACAGGAUUAUACCUAUGUGUUGGCAACACCCCUGGAUUAGACCUACAGCAUGGACACACACCAAUAUCAUUGGAUUAACAGAGAUUAGGUCUAAACUCACUGUUGAUGCUGUAAUACCUUCUUGUCAUGACUCAGAUGUCUCUUUCUGCAAUGGCUGAUGGCAGAAGCAAGAUAGCCUACACCUACAGUCAGCAUUAAAUGCUAAUCAUUCUUCUUACAGUAAACUCCAGCACACUGGUAUUCUAGAAUAUCAACAACAAUCUUAAAGGCGCAGCGCAGUCAAAAACUCAAUUAUCCUGUGUUUUAUAUUUCCACACUAUGAUUUUGGAAUAAUACUGUGAAAUUGUGAAAAUUAUGACGAUGCCCUUUUAGUGAAAGAGCAGUUUGAAAAGACCACCUGGAAUUUCUGCCUGUUUUGGUGGGAUAGAGGUUUGCCUUGCCUGGUGACAUCACCAGGUGGUAAAUUACUUAAUAGACAAUAAGAAAGAGAGUUCCAAACGUCUCUGCCAAUAACAGCUAGUUUUCAUGUUCUCCUCCCCGCUCAGACCACUCUGGAGAAAUUGCUCUUUGCUAGGAAGCAAUUUUAGUUCUUUUGACAAUUUGUAUUGAAAGAAAUCACAGUAAAGUACUUAAUUGUUACCCAUAAAUGAUUUGAUUUUGAGAUAACAACGUCUGCAUUGGACCUUUAAAAUACUCCACAAUCAAUUUAGGCUAAAGGAUCUUAAAUAGACUCAUAACUCUGCUUAACCCUGAUGAACAUCUUGACAGAAACGUGAUAAGAUCUAAUGAAUUGUUUUUAGAGAAUUCUAGAAAUACCAGUGUCCUAGAGUUUCUUUUCAACUACUGUACAUAGUGUACGUUUUUCCUCCAUGCACCUGAAACUAUAUAAGGUGUGCAGACUACCCUCUUUCUUGCUUAUGACUUUCAGUGAUGUCCGUUUGUUAAGUAUGAUCAAGUGUAAUCAAUACCAUGAUCAGAAACAGACGAUACAGUGACUUUAUGUCUUAUUAAGGCCAGGCACCACAGGCUGAAAUUACAUUUUUGCAUUUGCCUAGAUUUUUUAUUUUGGUCUGAAAAGUAAAAAUACAAAUGUCAUCAACAUUUUUAUAAUUUCUGCCACUUACAUUUUGUUUACAUACAUAAAUAAUUUGAAUUAGAUAUCAUUUCAAAGCCCAUUUCAUAGAGAAUGUUACAAACUGGACCAAUGUUUACUCUGGAAAAAUGUGUACUGUAGCAUUGGGGAAAAGGAGUGGGGGGAAAAGGUAAUGUGGUAAAAAGGUAAAUGGUAAAUGUUUUAUUACCGUAGCAUUAUUAUAUGUUCUCUAUAUUUAUGUACUUGAAAAUGUAUAAAUUGAGAAUUCAGCACACAUCUUGUGGACAAAAUCUGAAUGACACUUAGGCUCCUACCUUAUUGUAUGGCCUUUCGCUUGCAUUUCAAAGACGAUGGAACAAAAAAAAAGAAAAGGCCAGUUUUUUUGUAUUAGAUCUAAUGUGUUAUAUUCUCCUACAUUAAUUUCACAUUUCCACAAACUUCAAAGUGUUUCCUUUCAAAUGGUAUCAAGAAUAUACAUAUCCUUGCUUCAGGUCCUGAGCUAUAGGCAGUUAGAUUUGGUUAUGUCAUUUUUGGAGAAAAUUGAAAAAAAGGGUUCCAUCCUUAAGAUUAAGUCAGUGGGCUAUUACUGUGUUGUAGCAUUUAUAUAUAUAUAUGUCACGACUUCCGCCGAAGUCGGUUCCUCUCCUUGUUCGGGCGGCGUUCGGCGUUCGGCGGUCGACAUCGCCGGAUUUCUAGCCAUCGCCGAUCCACCUUUCAUUUUUCCAUUUGUCUUGUCUUCUUUCCCUUCACGCCCUGGUUUCAAUCCCCUCAGUAUUAGAUGUGUAUAUAACCCUCUGUUCCCCCCAUGUCUGUGUGUGGAAUUGUUUGUUGUUUCGUGUAUGUACACGCUAGACUGGUUUGCGCUGGGUUAUGUCAACCCAUAUUGUGUUUAGUGUUCUUAGUGCCGUGUGUUUUGUUCGCCGAAAUAAAAGGCUCCUUUGGCUACCCAA